CCUGGUGGCUUAGCUGGUAAAGAAUCUGCCUACAAUGCAGGAGACCUGGGUUCGAUCCCUGGGUCAGGA
rnacentral:tRNA from 1 species